CCUACGGGAGGCAGCAGUGAGGAAUAUUGGUCAAUGGACGAGAGUCUGAACCAGCCAAGUAGCGUGAAGGAUGACUGCCCUAUGGGUUGUAAACUUCUUUUAUAUGGGAAUAAAAUGUUCCACGUGUGGGAUUUUGUAUGUACCAUAUGAAUAAGGAUCGGCUAACUCCGUGCCAGCAGCCGCGGUAAUACGGAGGAUCCGAGCGUUAUCCGGAUUUAUUGGGUUUAAAGGGGGCGUAGGUGGAUUGUUAAGUCAGUUGUGAAAGUUUGCGGCUCAACCGUAAAAUUGCAGUUGAAACUGGCAGUCUUGAGUACAGUAGAGGUGGGCGGAAUUCGUGGUGUAGCGGUGAAAUGCUUAGAUAUCACGAAGAACUCCGAUUGCGAAGGCAGCUCACUGGACUGCAACUGACGCUGAUGCUCGAAAGCGCGGGUAUCGAACAGGAUUAGAUACCCGGGUAGUC
rnacentral:rRNA from 1 species